GAGAGUAUAGCUCAGUGGCAGACCGCGUGCUUAGCAUGCAUGAAGUCCUGGGUUCAAUUGCCAGUACUUCCA
rnacentral:tRNA from 1 species